rnacentral:tRNA from 1 species
GCCGGGGUUCCCUAGCCUGACUCAUCAUACGGUAAGUCCUAGAUUGGUAAGGGGUAGGCCUGGAAAGCCUAUGACCUCUCGGGGUCUCCGGGGUUCAAAUCCCCGUCCCGGCA